CCUCGCAAAUCAUCAUUUGAGAAGAUUAUGAUGUCCUCGAUGCACCUCCUCUUUGAUGAUUGAUCUUUAGCUCAACUUUCUACCCCUGUUCCUCAGUUGCCAAUUUAGAAAUUAUGUUGAUUACACCCACUGUAGAUUGGUUACUAUUCUCCUCUUUAGUCUGGCAUUGAGCUGGCUCAUCGAUAGCUUGAUUCUCUUGGUCUCGAACAUAUUUUCCAAUGUAUCCUCAUCGAAUAAGGGCUUCAAUUUUCAUUCUUCAAUUUUGUAUCAUGGUCGUGAUC
rnacentral:lncRNA from 1 species